rnacentral:rRNA from 1 species
AACGAACGCUGGCGGCAGGCCUAACACAUGCAAGUCGAACGCUCCGCAAGGGGAGGUGGCGCACGGGUGAGUAACACGUGGGAACCUACCUUCUGGUACGGAACAACCAAGGGAAACUUUGGCUAAGACCGUAUACGACCUCCGGGUGAAAGAUUGAUCNCCGGAAGAGGGGCCCGCGUCCGAUUAGGUAGUUGGUGAGGUAACGGCUCACCAAGCCUUCGAUCGGUAGCUGGUCUGAGAGGAUGACCAGCCACACUGGGACUGAGACACGGCCCACGACUCCUACGGGA